GAUGAAGAACGUAGCGAAAUGCGAUAAGUAGUGUGAAUUGCAGAAUUCAGUGAAUCAUCGAAUCUUUGAACGCACAUUGCGCCCCUUGGUAUUCCAUGGGGCAUGCCUGUUCGAGCGUCAUUUGCACCUUCAAGCUCUGCUUGGUGUUGGGUGUUUGUCUCGCCUCUGCGUGUAGACUCGCCUCAAAACAAUUGGCAGCCGGCGUAUUGAUUUCGGAGCGCAGUACAUCUCGCGCUUUGCACUCAUAACGACGACGUCCAAAAGUACAUUUUUACACUCUUGACCUCGGAUCAGGUAGGGAUACCCGCUGAACUUAAGCAUAUCAAUAAGCGGAGGA
rnacentral:misc_RNA from 1 species